rnacentral:lncRNA from 10 species
ACACACAAUAAUAAUAAUCAAUUUGCUGGGCAUAGUGGGGUGUGCGUGUAGUCCCAGCUACUCAGGAGGCUAAGGAGGGAGGAUCACCUGAGCCCAGGAAGUUAAGGCUGCAGUAAGCUUGGAUGGCACCACUGCACUCCAGCCUGGGUGACAGAGGGAGACUCUGUCAAUGAAUGAAUGAAUGAAUAAAUGAAUAAAUGAAUGAAUAGAAAAUGCUCUGAGCGAAAAGAGGAGAGUCUCUUUAUCUUUUUGCAACAGGCUAAACAAAAUUUUUAAAAAUGUAUAUUUGCCUCACAGAGAUUAUUCCAGGAAAAGAAAUGGCCCUCAGUGUCAAAGGAUGCAAAACUAACCUGUGAGUUCCUGGCAGGUUUAGCAAUAAAGGAGGAUGUUGCUGAUCUCAGUACAAGCAAUGUUAGAGAAAGGGGAAGAUGGAAGUGGACGAGGACCAGUGAGUGGAAGGUGACAAAUGGAAGCAAAGAAACCCAUCCAGACCAUUGAAGAUGCUUGAGCGAGAAGAAAGAGGCGGUGGAGGGAAUGGAAGCCCGAGGAAGUCAUUUGUUGCAAUAGGAUGCCUCAGAGCACGUGUAGGGUGCGGGGCAGAGCCCAUGCAGAGGGGCUGUGGAAGGCUGGCAGGGUGCAGGUGGCCCCACUCUCCGUCACCCUGAGGAAUAUGUGGUCAGAGUUAAAGCUCAGUCUGUUUCUGGGAUCAGUAUUUUGUCAUGGCAGCCCUAGCAAACUACUACAGGGACUGUGAGGGUUAAGAUGACACCAAACAUCAAAUGCCACUCCCUGUUCCAACACUGAGACCAUUCCACAGCCUCUGAAUGACAAGACAGGCCUUCAAAAUCAAGACCACCUGGCUAGAUUCUGGAUAUUAGCCUUCUGUCAGAUGGAUAGAUUAAAGCUUGCAAGCUGAAACUCAACAACUUAUGUAAACUUCUGGAGAAAUCACAGCAACUUACAUAUAAACAACCCUUGUGCCUGCUGAUGUGUGGACUACAGAAAAGGUACACAUGAACACUGUAUUCAGACUGCAAUUUAGAGAAAUGUGUCAGAUUACCACUGCAAUUGGAAGAUGCUUCAGAAACUCUAGAAAACCUAGUCUAUAGACUGCUCCAGACAUUACAGGGUUCACUCUCAAGCUCUGGCUCAAUAAAACUCAAUUGGUCAAGACCCUUGCCUCAGUCAGUCUUUCUGGAUAUCCACCAUGAGUCCUGCAAAGCCCUUCAGUAAUCUAUUGCCUGCCUAGGUGAUGUGUACCCAGCAUGGCAGUCAGCCCUGCAGGAACCAGGAUAAGAGAAAAGGCCAUCAUACCUGCCAGUCUUCCUGAAAUACAGAAAUGACUUCACGGCUGCUAUAUUGGAUUAAGGAGAGGAAGACGUCCUAUUCCUGAAGGAGCUGUCAUGGAAAGAAAAGUAAAGAAGGAAUGAAGGUGAUGUUAUUUUACAUGGGGGAGCCUCAGGAAGAGGCAUGUAGCAUGAGGUACUCUAUAAUUGUUUCUUCAAGUACUACAUUAUUCCUCUUGGGAAAUUGAUGGGAGAUGAUUAUAUUCUUGCAGUUUUUUUUUUCCCUCUCACCAUGUUUCUAGGAUGGUGAUCAGUCCUCUGUCAAAUCUCUACUGCACUCAGAUAUUUUGGAAGGCUUUCAGACAUAAGAAAGGCUGAUUGCUAUUUUCUAUGUCAUUAGAACUUACCACCUUUUCACCUUUUCAUGGUUGCAUCUUUUUCUCAGUCUCUCUGUUGUGGCAGCCAUGAAUGAGACUCUGUCAGGUCUCCAUGGCAGGGAGCUGAUUGACAGAAGGCCCACGUCCGUGCAUUUCACAUUCAUCACCUCCUUUGCACAGAAAGCUUCUUUCCCACAGGCUCCCAGGAAGGGCGUGAAAGCAAGCCUAGUUCUCUGAGGCUCUCUUUAACUCUAAAGGGUGACUGGUUGGAGGACUCCCCCUCAGCCUUGCAAAAACUCUUAGAACUGCAUUGGUACCUAAAACUUCUUUCUCUUUCUUUUUCACAGGAAUCAGCUCUGCAUAGUGGUCUGUGGGUUCUCCCAUACUGCCUUCAUGUCUGCCCCACAUUCCCUCACAGGUGUCCUCCCUGAUAAAUUAUCUUGUAUGUCUAAUCCCAUCUUGGGUGCAUCUCAGUUGGUAAAAACUAACAUAUCAGGCUUGAUUCUUUGCACUUAGCUUUUUUUCCUUCUCUCCCACAAGUAGUCAGUAACCAUGUCCUAGUGUUUUAUGUGUUACCUCUUUUUCCAUAUAUAUGGAAAAAGGUAGGUACUGUUGAGGGGCAUUUCCUAUGUGCCAGGCCCUGUGCUAAAUACUUUACCUGUAUCUCAUUUAAUCCACACAAUAACCCUGUCAGGUAGAAAUUAUUUCCACUUUGCUGAUGAAAAGACAGAAGCUUAUCAUGGUGUAAAAACUUUCCUGGUGUCAUAUGGCUAGUGACAGGUGGAUCUGAAAUUUGAUUCUAGGACUAUUUGACCUCAAGGCUAAUGAUGAUGGUAGUAAUAUAGCAGCUGACAUUGGCUCCUCUGUGUGGCAUCUUGUUUCAUUGAUUGCAUUAAACAUUUAAAAGAAUGGUAUGAAGAAAGCACUCUCAUUGCAAUUUUCAGGUGAGGAAUCAGAGGUUCAGAGAAGUUGAGUCUUGUGCAAGAAAUUUAUAACUGUAAACUCUUACAUUAAAAAAGAAGAAAGAUCUCAGGUCAACAACCUACUUUAAUACUUCAGGAUAUGAAAGAAGAACAAACUAAACCCAAGCACAGUGAAUGAGGGAAAUAAUAAGGAUUAGAGUGGACAUAAAUAAAAUGGAGAAUGGAAAAAGAAUAGAGGAAAUUAAUGAAACCAAAAGUUGAUUCUUCAAAAUAAAAUCAACAAAAUUGACAACCAUUAACUAGAUUGACUAAGAAAAAAAGAGAAAAGUUUAAAAUUACUCAAAUCAGAAAUGAAAAUGGACUCUGAGCAUGGUGGGUCAUGUUUUAAUCCUAGCACUUUGGGAGGUCACAGCAGAAGGAUUUCUUGAGACCAGGUGUUUGGACCAGCAUGGGUAACCUGGGGAGAUGCUGUCUCUACAAAAAUAUAAAAAACCAAUUAACUGGGCAUGUUGACAUGAACCUGUAGUCAUAGCAUCUUGGGAGGCUGAAGAAGGAGAAUUGCUUGAGCCCAGGAGGUUAAGGCUGCAGUGAGCCAUAAUCACACCACUGUAUUCCAUCCUGGACUGGUCUACAUAGUGAGAGCCCGUCCCUCUCUUCAAAAAAAAAAAAAAAGAAAAAGAAAGAAAGAAAAAUGAAGCGAUUACUACCAAUUCUAAUAAAAUAAUGAUUAUGAAAGUACUAUAAAUAAUUUUAUGCAAAUAAAUUGGAUAACCUAGAUGAAAUAGACAAACUCCUAGAAACACACAAAAAUAUGAAUAGAACUAUAAUCAGUAAUAAGAUUGAAUCAAUAAAAGCAUUUGAUGAAAUUCAAUAUUUUUUCAUAAUGAAAACAUCCUAAGAAUAGAAGGAAACCACCUCAACAUAAAGGCAAUAUGUGAAAAACCCAAUGCUAGCAUCAUACUCAACGGAGAAAGACUGAAAGCUUUCCCUGUAUGAGCAGGAACAAGACAAGGAUGCCUGCUUUUGACACUUUUAUUCAACAUAGUAUUGAAAGGUCUAGUCAGAAAAAUUAGGCAAGAAUUGAAAAAAAGACAUUCAAAUUGGAAGGAAGGAGUAAAAUUCUUUCUGUUUACAGAUAACUUGAACUUAUAUGUAGAAAAUCCUAAAGGUGGAACAAACCAAUUAAAAUUAAUAAAUUCAGUAAUGUUGCACAAUACAAAAUCAACAUUCAAACAUCAGUUGUAUUUCAAUACACUAAACAUGAACAAUCUGAAGGGAAAUUAAGAAAAAUAAUUUCAAUUUAUAUUAACAUCAAAAAGAAUAAAAUAUUUAGGAAUAAGUUUAACCAAAGAGGUGAAAUAAUUAUACCUGAAAUCUACAAAAUAUUGCUGAAAGAAAUGAAAGAAGACAUCAAUAAAUUGAAAGACAUUUUGUGUUCAUGAAUUGGAAGACUCAAUAUUGUUAGGAGGACAGUGCUGCCCAAAGUGAGCUGCAGAUUCAAUAAAAUUCCUGUCAGAAUCUCAGUGACAUUUUUGCAGAAAAAGACAAAUCUGUCCUAAAAUUUAUAUUGCAUCUCAUGACUCUAAAUAGACACAUAGCUUUGAAGAGGAAGAAUGAAGCUGGAGGACUCACACUUCCUGAUUUCAGCAUUUACUACAAAGCCCUAGUAAUCAAUACAGUGUGGUACUGGCAUAAAGGAGGACAUAGAAAUUAAUGAAAUAUCAUAGCCCAGAAAGAAAUGCUUGCAUAUAUGGCCAAAUGAUUUUCAUGGAGUGUUCCAAGAUCAUUCAAUGGGGAACGGACAGUGUUCUCACCAAAUGAUAUUGGGAAAGCUGGAUAUCCAAGGGCAAGAGAGUGGAACCUUUACCUAACACCAUGCAUAAAAAUUAACCCACAAUAGAUCAAAGAUCUAAAUGUAAGAGUAAAAACUACAGAACUCUUAGAAGAAAAGCUUCAUGAUACUGGAUUUCACAAUGAUUUCUUGGUUGUAACAACAAAAGCAUAGGCAACAAAUAAAAUGGAUUAAUUGGACUUCACAAAAAUCAAAACCUUUUAUAUAUCAAAGAACAUUAUCAAGAAAGUAAAAAGGCAACCUAUGAAAUGAUAAAAAUAUUUGCAAAUUAUAUGUGUGAUAAGAAAUUAAUUUCCAGAAUACAUGAAAAGCUACAAGUCAACAACAGCAAACAUCCAAAAACCCAAUUAAAAAAUGAACAAAGGAUUAAAAUGGAGUUUUCUCCAAGGAAGAUAUACAAAUAUCCAAUAAGCCCAUGCAAAGUUCCUCAGCAUCACGAAUACUUAGAGAUAUGCAAAUCAAAACCACAAUGUUACACCACCUCACACACUUUAGGAUGGCUUUGAUAAACAACAAAAAUGACAGCAACACAAAACAACAGGUGUUUUCAAGUAGAUGGAAAAAUUGGAGCUCUAGUGCAUUGCUGAUGGGAAUGGGAAAUGUUAUAGCCACUGUAAAAAGUGGUGUGGCUGUUUCUCAAAAAAUUAAACAAUAACUUACCAUUUGAUCCAGCAAUUCCACUUCUGGACAAACUCCCCAUAGAAAUGAAAAAAAAUUGAACAAAUAUUUGUACACUGAUGUUCAGAGAAGCAUUACUCACACUAGCGAAAAAAUGGAAACAACUGAAAAGUCCAUUGAAAGAUAAGUGGGUAGGCAAAUGAGGUGUAUCUACAAUUAAAAUGUUAUUCAACCUUAACAAGGAAUAAAAUUCCAAUACAUCGUGCAAAAUGGAUGAACCUUAAAGAUAUUAUGCUAACUGAAAUAAACCAGACACAAAAGGAUAAUUAUCAUAUAAUUCCAUUUAUAAAAGAUAGUUAGAAUAGCCAGUUACAUAGAGACAGAAUGUAGAAUGGUG